rnacentral:rRNA from 1 species
UACAGAGGCCUCGAGCGUUAGGCGGAAUCACUGGGCUUAAAGCGUGUGUAGGCGGACUUCUAAGUGCCUUGUGAAAUCCCACGGCUCACCCGUGGAACUGCUGGGCAUACUGGGAGUCUUGAGCCACCUAGGGGCGAGCGGAACAAAUGGUGGAGCGGUGAAAAUGCGUAGAUAUCAUUUGGAACGCCAACGGAGAAAAUCAGCUCGCUGGGGGGGUGUGCUGACGCUGAGACACGAAAAGCCCAGGGGGAGCGAA